rnacentral:sRNA from 1 species
CACUUGCUUAUUUAUUCCCCAUUUUCAUUCUCAAGCAAAGAGUUGUCACGUUCAACUCCGAAAUUAUUUUUUGUAUUCCCAUCAAAACCGACGAAACAAAAUGUCUAGGAACAACAGCGUUAUCAAGCGAUUUGAUAGGCCAAGUGGACACGAGACCGGUAGGACACUGAUGGAAGAAAGCUACAGAGGAGACGCUUGGUGAGACGCGGAGAUGUUGAAGACUCCUCUCCUGAUACAAUUCUGCGCAUGCACCUCAGGAGGCUUAGUAGCGAGAACAGCCAUCGCAGGGGAGCGGAAGGGAUUGGCAUGGAUCGCGCCCUGUCUCCGAGCAUGGCUACCGGCCAUAAGUCUCGCAAAUUGACCAAAGUGUGCAAAACUGGAAACCACUCGAGCACCAAGGACCGCAAUUCGGGUACCGCUCGUGUCAAGUACAGCAAGAAUUCCCAGUUACGCACCAAGAUCUGCUUAAGCUGUAUGCGAAAAAUGCUGUCCAAAAUUAAUACAACCUCUUGAUACAGACAUCAAAAUUUAAGGUUUAGUUCAAAAUAUUUAGUUUUUUUUUUUAAAGUUAAUUCAAAACACUAAAACUUGAGUACAUA